AGAGUUUGAUCCUGGCUCAGGAUGAACGCUAGCGGCAGGCCUAACACAUGCAAGUCGAGGGGCAGCACGGUGUAGCAAUACACUGGUGGCGACCGGCGCACGGGUGCGUAACGCGUAUGCAACCUACCCAUAACAGGGGGAUAACACUGAGAAAUUGGUACUAAUACCCCAUAACAUCAGGACCGGCAUCGGUUCUGGUUGAAAACUCCGGUGGUUAUGGAUGGGCAUGCGUUGUAUUAGCUGGUUGGUGAGGUAACGGCUCACCAAGGCAACGAUACAUAGGGGGACUGAGAGGUUAACCCCCCACAUUGGUACUGAGACACGGACCAAACUCCUACGGGAGGCAGCAGUGAGGAAUAUUGGUCAAUGGACGAGAGUCUGAACCAGCCAAGUAGCGUGAAGGAUGACUGCCCUAUGGGUUGUAAACUUCUUUUAUAUGGGAAUAAAGUGAGCCACGUGUGGCUUUUUGUAUGUACCAUACGAAUAAGGAUCGGCUAACUCCGUGCCAGCAGCCGCGGUAAUACGGAGGAUCCAAGCGUUAUCCGGAUUUAUUGGGUUUAAAGGGUGCGUAGGCGGUUUGAUAAGUUAGAGGUGAAAUACCGGUGCUUAACACCGGAACUGCCUCUAAUACUGUUGAACUAGAGAGUAGUUGCGGUAGGCGGAAUGUAUGGUGUAGCGGUGAAAUGCUUAGAGAUCAUACAGAACACCGAUUGCGAAGGCAGCUUACCAAACUAUAUCUGACGUUGAGGCACGAAAGCGUGGGGAGCAAACAGGAUUAGAUACCCUGGUAGUCCACGCAGUAAACGAUGAUAACUCGCUGUCGGCGAUACACAGUCGGCGGCUAAGCGAAAGCGAUAAGUUAUCCACCUGGGGAGUACGUUCGCAAGAAUGAAACUCAAAGGAAUUGACGGGGGCCCGCACAAGCGGAGGAACAUGUG
rnacentral:rRNA from 1 species